GCGUAGGUGAUCUACCCUGAAGUUGGGGAUAGCCCAUGGAAACAUGGGGUAAUACCGAAUAUACUGCAUAAUUUUGUUUAUGCAGGAAAGGAGCGUUUGCUUCGCUUUGGGAUGAGCCUGCGUAUGAUUAGCUAGUUGGUAGGGUAAUGGCCUACCAAGGCGACGAUCAUUAGCCGGCCUGAGAGGGUGACCGGCCACAUUGGGACUGAGACACGGCCCAGACUCCUACGGGAGGCAGCAGCNAAGAAUCUUCCGCAAUGGACGCAAGUCUGACGGACCNACGCCGCGUGUGCGAAGAAUGUCGAGAGAUUGUAAAGCACUUUUAUAUGUGAGGAAUAAGCGUGUCAGGAAAUGGG
rnacentral:rRNA from 1 species